UUCCUACGGGGCGCAGCAGUGGGGAAUAUUGGGCAAUGGGCGCAAGCCUGACCCAGCAACGCCGCGUGAAGGAAGAAGGCUUUCGGGUUGUAAACUUCUUUUAUGAGGGACGAAAGAAAUGACGGUACCUCAUGAAUAAGCCACGGCUAACUACGUGCCAGCAGCCGCGGUAAUACGUAGGUGGCAAGCGUUAUCCGGAUUUACUGGGUGUAAAGGGCGUGUAGGCGGGCCUGCAAGUCAGAAGUGAAAUCUGGGGGCUUAACCCCCAAACUGCUUUUGAAACUGUGGGUCUUGAGGGAUGGAGA
rnacentral:rRNA from 1 species